rnacentral:tRNA from 1 species
UGCCCAGGUGGCGGAAUUGGUAGACGCGUUCGUUUCAGGUGCGAGUGGUUUUGCGAUCGUGCAGGUUCGAGUCCUGUUCUGGGCACCC